rnacentral:rRNA from 1 species
GUCGCAAGACCAAAGAGGGGGACCUUCGGGCCUCUUGCCAUCAGAUGUGCCCAGAUGGGAUUAGCUUGUUGGUGAGGUAACGGCUCACCAAGGCGACGAUCCCUAGCUGGUCUGAGAGGAUGACCAGCCACACUGGAACUGAGACACGGUCCAGACUCCUACGGGAGGCAGCAGUGGGGAAUAUUGCACAAUGGGCGCAAGCCUGAUGCAGCCAUGCCGCGUGUAUGAAGAAGGCCUUCGGGUUGUAAAGUACUUUCAGCGGGGAGGAAGGUGUUGUGGUUAAUAACCGCAGCAAUUGACGUUACCCGCAGAAGAAGCACCGGCUAACUCCGUGCCAGCAGCCGCGGUAAUACGGAGGGUGCAAGCGUUAAUCGGAAUUACUGGGCGUAAAGCGCACGCAGGCGGUCUGUCAAGUCGGAUGUGAAAUCCCCGGGCUCAACCUGGGAACUGCAUUCGAAACUGGCAGGCUUGAGUCUUGUAGAGGGGGGUAGAAUUCCAGGUGUAGCGGUGAAAUGCGUAGAGAUCUGGAGGAAUACCGGUGGCGAAGGCGGCCCCCUGGACAAA